CCUUAGAGUUUGAUCCUGGCUCAGGACGAACUCUGGCGGCGUGCCUAACACAUGCAAGUCGAACGAGAAUCGUGGAACAGAGGCUUCGGCCGACGGGAAGCGAGGAAAGUGGCGAACGGGUGAGUAACGCGUGAGGAACCUGCCUUUCAGUGGGGGACAACAGUUGGAAACGACUGCUAAUACCGCAUAACAUAUCGGGACCGCAUGAUCUUGAUAUCAAAGCUUUAUGUGCUGAAAGAUGGCCUCGCGUCUGAUUAGCUAGUUGGAGGGGUAACGGCCCACCAAGGCGACGAUCAGUAGCCGGUCUGAGAGGAUGAACGGCCACAUUGGGACUGAGACACGGCCCAAACUCCUACGGGAGGCAGCAGUGGGGAAUAUUGCACAAUGGGGGAAACCCUGAUGCAGUGACGCCGCGUAUAGGAAGAAGAUUUUCGGAUUGUAAACUAUUGUCUGUAGGGAAGAUAAAAGACUGUACCUACAAAGAAAGCUCCGGCUAACUACGUGCCAGCAGCCGCGGUAAUACGUAGGGAGCAAGCGUUAUCCGGAUUUAUUGGGUGUAAAGGGUGCGUAGACGGGAAAUUAAGUUAGUUGUGAAAUCCCUCGGCUCAACUGAGGAACUGCAACUAAAACUGAUUUUCUUGAGUGCAGGAGAGGAAAGUGGAAUUCCUAGUGUAGCGGUGAAAUGCGUAGAUAUUAGGAGGAACACCAGUGGCGAAGGCGACUUUCUGGACUGCAACUGACGUUGAGGCACGAAAGUGUGGGGAGCAAACAGGAUUAGAUACCCUGGUAGUCCACACUGUAAACGAU
rnacentral:rRNA from 1 species